GCAAACUUGGUCAUUUAGAGGAAGUAAAAGUCGUAACAAGGUUUCCGUAGGUGAACCUGCGGAAGGAUCAUUAACGUAUCUCUGACGGGGCGUCGUCCGCCCAGCUCCGGUCCCGUUCGGGCCGUGCAGCGGGUGGGCCCGCUUCCGCUCAAACCUCACAAACCCACUGUGAACCUUCACGGCGGAGGGGGCUCGGUCUGUGCCGUGUCCCCGAGGCCGCAUACCAAACUCCAGUUGCAAAGAAUGUCGUGCGGACGUCGAGCCGCCUAAAACACAUAACAACUUUCAACAACGGAUCUCUUGGCUCUCGCAUCGAUGAAGAACGCAGC
rnacentral:misc_RNA from 1 species